UGGGGAAUAUUGCACAAUGGGCGCAAGCCUGAUGCAGCCAUGCCGCGUGUAUGAAGAAGGCCUUCGGGUUGUAAAGUACUUUCAGUCGGGAGGAAGGUGUAAAGGUUAAUAACCUUGGCAAUUGACGUUACCGACAGAAGAAGCACCGGCUAACUCCGUGCCAGCAGCCGCGGUAAUACGGAGGGUGCAAGCGUUAAUCGGAAUUACUGGGCGUAAAGCGCACGCAGGCGGUUGAUUGAGUCAGAUGUGAAAUCCCCGGGCUUAACCCGGGAAUUGCAUCUGAUACUGGUCAGCUAGAGUCUUGUAGAGGGGGGUAGAAUUCCAUGUGUAGCGGUGAAAUGCGUAGAGAUGUGGAGGAAUACCGGUGGCGAAGGCGGCCCCCUGGACAAAGACUGACGCUCAGGUGCGAAAGCGUGGGGAGCAAACAGG
rnacentral:rRNA from 1 species